GAUGAACGCUAGCUACAGGCUUAACACAUGCAAGUCGAGGGGUAACAAGAGAAAAGCUUGCUUUUCUUGUUGACGACCGGCGCACGGGUGAGUAACGCGUAUCCAACCUGCCUAUAACUAGGGAAUAAGCUUGCGAAAGUAAGACUAAUACCCUAUGAUUUCCUUUGAUGACAUCAGAUUAGGAAUAAAGAUGUAUCGGUUAUAGAUGGGGAUGCGUCUGAUUAGCUUGUUGGCGGGGUAACGGCCCACCAAGGCAACGAUCAGUAGGGGUUCUGAGAGGAAGGUCCCCCACAUUGGAACUGAGACACGGUCCAAACUCCUACGGGAGGCAGCAGUGAGGAAUAUUGGUCAAUGGGCGGAAGCCUGAACCAGCCAAGUAGCGUGCAGGAUGACGGCCCUAUGGGUUGUAAACUGCUUUUAUACAGGAAUAAAGUUAGCCACGUGUGGUUAUUUGUAGGUACUGUAUGAAUAAGGACCGGCUAAUUCCGUGCCAGCCGCCGCGGUAAAAC
rnacentral:rRNA from 1 species